rnacentral:rRNA from 1 species
GAACGCUAGCGGCAGGCUUAACACAUGCAAGUCGAGGGGCAGCAUGACGGAACCUUCGGGUUUUGUUGAUGGCGACCGGCGCAAGGGUGCGUAACGCGUGAGCAACUUGCCCGUUUCAGGGGGAUAACCGGUGGAAACGCCGACUAAUACCCCCAUAGCAUCACAUUGAGGCAUCUUUAUGUGAUUAAAGAAUUUCGGAAACGGAUAGGCUCGCGUGACAUUAGCUAGAUGGCGGGGUAACGGCCCACCAUGGCGACGAUGUCUAGGGGUUCUGAGAGGAAGGUCCCCCACACUGGAACUGAGACACGGUCCAGACUCCUACGGGAGGCAGCAGUGAGGAAUAUUGGUCAAUGGUCUGACGACUGAACCAGCCAUGCCGCGUGAAGGUCACGGCCCUAUGGGUCUUAAACUUCUUUUGCGAGGGAGCAAUAAGGUCUACGUGUAGUCCGAUGAGAGUACCUCGCGAAUAAGCAUCGGCUAACUCCGUG